GAAAAGCAAUAUGAAGUAGCAGCCGAGAAACCAGGCUAUGUGUUGGAGAAGGAGAAGGAAGACCCUCUGCUGUUCUCAGCAUUCAAACUCGGUGAAAUCUCUGUACAGGUUGUGGAUGAAGAAAACAAGCCCUUGUCUGACGUCCUGCUGUCACUGAGUGGAGGCAAGCAGUACCGCAGUAACAACGUCACAGGGGUCAACGGAUCCAUCGUGUUUAUUGGCCUGAGUCCUGGUCAGUACUACCUGCGGCCAAUGAUGAAGGAGUACCAGUUCCAGCCCAACUCCCAGAUGAUUGACGUGUUGGAGGGAGGGACCAAGAAGAUCAGCAUCAAGGGGGUCAGGGUGGCCUACAGUUGCUAUGGUUCGGUGACCUCCCUGAAUGGUGAGGUGGAGCAGGGGGUGAUUGUGGAGGCUGUGGGGGACAGACCUGAGUGUAACCAGGAGGAGAGUAAGACUGAGGCGGACGGCUCCUACAGGAUCAGGGGACUACAGCCUAAAUGUACUUAUCAGAUUCGAUUAAAAUCGGAGGUUAACCCCCACAUAGAGAAGUCGGCCCCUCAGUUCCAUGAAUUAGUGGUGAAGGACUCUGAUUUCACUGGCAUCAACAUUAUUGCUUUCCGUCGAAACAACCAAAUGGACAUCAGUGGAAAUGUGGUCACUCCGGAGGAAUUCCUUCAGCACCUCAAGGUGCGCUUGUACCGAGAUGACAACCCAGAUUCUCCCAUCCACACUGCCAGUCUGGGCCCAGUAUCCUUCUUCUAUCUACCUUCACUGCAGAUGACUAAUGAGAAAUACUUGCUUCGUCUGGAGAGCACCCUGUCUAAGGCAUCAUACGAGUACGAACUCCCGGAGAUCAGCUUCCAGACUAACAAGUCCUACAAACACUUUACAUUCCAGUUUACUCCUAAGAGGAAAUCCUUGGAACAGGAGCUUAACCAGGGUUCUGUGCUGGCCCUUCCUCUAGCCAUACUUGUAGGCGUGGCUAUCUAUAACUACCAAAAGUUGUUACCAGUGCUGUCCAAAGCUGCCAUUCAGGCUAAGACUUUUCUAGCUGCCAGUCAGGCGGAGGUUGCCGCUAGCAAUGGGUCGAGUGAGCCAUCUACAUACUCCGCUAGUUUCACAGAACCGUCUAAAAAGAAAAAUAAACCCCGGAAAACAUGAUGUUUAUUGAGAGUUUAGAAUGUAUGUGAGCUUUGUGGUUUGUGAGACGUGUGCAAUUUUUUUUUUUAUUUAAAAUCGUCAUGGUGACGAACUUUAGGGUCUGAUUGUCUUGGAACAAAUUUUACUGAUUUAAAGAUUAGGCAAAGUUUUCAUUGAAUAAAUUAUUUACUUAUCAUUAUGCCUGAAAAAUCAUUUGUUUUUUAACAGGAAACCUGAACAAUAUCUGAAGACUCAAUAACAUUUGUGCCCAUUUUAUCACCAAUCCCAACACCCAUUAUUUUUUCCCUGUAUCAUGAACAGUUUUUGAAUAUUGUUUAGCGAGUACCCUAAUGUUGUGCAAGAAUUUUACAGUGCAAUUCUUUUGUUCAAACUUGUUGUUAGAAUAUCUAUGGGUCAGUGUGAUGUUUUUGUUAGUGAAUGAUGUUAUAUACUGGUAGUCUGGAAUUGUGAGCAUGAAAGAUGGGACAUGACAAGUUAUCAACCUUGUGAAGUGAAAGUGUGUACUACAAUCUUAAAUUUCAAGUUUUGAAUGUAGAAUUUUUUAGUGUGAGGUAUAUUUUUUUUUAACAUUGGUGAGAGAAACAUUUGUGCUAUCUGUCUGUGAACAUUUUGUCUGGUAAGACACUUCUUCAUAUGCACAAUUUAGAAAAAAAAAACAGUUAUACAUGUAUUAGAGAAAUACAUUGUUACAAUUGAUUUCAAAAUCGACUCUUAGAAAAAGCAUUUUAAUACAAAUGUAAUAGAAUUUGAUUACAAAAGAAAAUGUCCUAAACAGGUAAUUUUUAUACAUUAUGAAAAUCAUUUUUCUUUUUAUUGAAAACAAACAAAAUUAAAUGCAUUUUAAAACCGCUAAUCAUGCUAUACUUAUGAUACAGAACAGCUUCCUGAUCAGUAAUUAGUGAUUUCAAGUGAUUUUCAAGGAUGGAAGUCAAACUUAAAAAAACAGAUCAAUUUGAGGGGGCAAGAUUAUGUAACAGUGCUUGAUCUAGAAUGUGUGAGCUUUGAGUGAUACAUGUGUGGCAGAUGUAUUAGAUCAUUGACUGAACGUAUAUCUACUUUGUAUUUAUAUUGAUUUUUUUUUUUUUGGGGGGGGGGGGGGGGUGGGGUGUGAGGGGUUACUGCUACUUCAUUUAAAGAUGCAUUAUUCAGAAACUUGAAAAUUCUGUAUUUAGAUGUCUAACUUCAUUUUCUUCAUUUAUUUACUUUUUGUAAUUGUCAGAUUUUGUCUUAAUAUAUAAUAAAACUUUAUACAUC
rnacentral:misc_RNA from 1 species